rnacentral:rRNA from 1 species
GCGUUAAGUUAAGGGCAUUUGGUGGAUGCCUUGGCAUGCACAGGCGAUGAAGGACGUGGCACUCUGCGAUAAGCUGCGGGGAGAUGAGAGCAAUCUUUGAUCCGCGGAUUUCCGAAUGGGGGAACCCCACCCUUUAGGGUGAACGCUGGCUGAAUACAUAGGCCAGCGUGGCGAACCCGGCGAACUGAAACAUCUCAGUAGCCGGAGGAAAAGAAAUCAACCGAGACUCCGCGAGUAGUGGCGAGCGAAAGCGGAUCAGCCCAGUGGUGGUCUCGAGGAAACCGGAAGCGUCUGGAAAGGCGCGCCAGAGCGGGUGACAGCCCCGUACGGGUCCAGUCUCGAGAUCAUCCUUGAGUAGGGCGGGACACGAGAAAUCCUGUCUGAAUAUGGGGGGACCACCCUCCAAGGCUAAGUACUCGUGCAUGACCGAUAGCGAACCAGUACCGUGAGGGAAAGGUGAAAAGCACCCCGAUGAGGGGAGUGAAACAGACCCUGAAACCGAAUGCCUACAAGCAGUGGGAGCUUGCACGUCUUUGGCGUGUGGGUGACCGCGUACCUUUUGUAUAAUGGGUCAGCGAGUUGAUUUUACGAGCGAGCUUAAGCCGUUAGGUGUAGGCGCAGCGAAAGCGAGUCUGAAUAGGGCGUUUGAGUUCGUAGGAUCAGACCCGAAACCGGGUGAUCUAGCCAUGGCCAGGCUGAAGGUGGGGUAACACCCACUGGAGGGCCGCACCCACGUCUGUUGAAAAAGACGGGGAUGAGCUGUGGCUAGGGGUGAAAGGCCAAUCAAACCCGGAGAUAGCUGGUUCUCCGCGAAAACUAUUUAGGUAGUGCGUCGGAUAUUGCCCUCGGGGGUAGAGCACUGGAUGGGCUAGGGGGCCGCGAGGCUUACCAAACCUAACCAAACUCCGAAUACCGAGGAGUAUCAGUCCGGCAGACAGACGGCGGGUGCUAAGGUCCGUCGUCGAGAGGGAAACAGCCCAGACCGCCAGCUAAGGUCCCCAAAUCAUGGCUAAGUGGGAAAGGAUGUGGGAAGGCCAAGACAACCAGGAGGUUGGCUUAGAAGCAGCCAUCCUUUAAAGAAAGCGUAAUAGCUCACUGGUCUAAACAAGCCGUCCUGCGCCGAAGAUGUACCGGGGCUCAAGCCAUGUACCGAAGCUGCGGACUUACACUUUGAGUGUGAGUGGUAGCGGAGCGUUGCCUAGGCCUGUGAAGGAAGACCCGCGAGGGCUUCUGGAGGUAUGGCAAGUGCGAAUGCUGACAUGAGUAGCGACAAGGAGUGUGAGAAACACUCCCGCCGAAAGUCCAAGGGUUCCUGCGCAAGGUUAAUCCGCGCAGGGUGAGCCGGUCCCUAAGGCGAGGCCGACAGGCGUAGCCGAUGGGAACACGGUUAAUAUUCCGUGGCCUGCGGGUGGUGACGGAUUGUGGACGUUGUCCGGACUUAUUGGAUUGUCCGGGCAGCCAAGCAGUCCCAGGAAACAGCCCCCGCGCAAGACCGUACCCUAAACCGACACAGGUGGACAGGUAGAGUAUACCAAGGCGCUUGAGAGAACUGUGCUGAAGGAACUCGGCAAAUUGCCCCCGUAACUUCGGGAGAAGGGGGCCCCGGUCCUGGGCAACCAGGGUCGGGGGGCACAGACCAGGGGGUGGCGACUGUUUACUAAAAACACAGGGCUCUGCGAAGCCGCGAAGGCGACGUAUAGGGUCUGACGCCUGCCCGGUGCCGGAAGGUUAAGAGGAGAGGUUAACGCCUCGAAUCGAAGCCCCGGUAAACGGCGGCCGUAACUAUAACGGUCCUAAGGUAGCGAAAUUCCUUGUCGGGUAAGUUCCGACCUGCACGAAUGGCGUAACGACUUCCCCACUGUCUCCAGCACAGACUCAGCGAAAUUGAAUUCUCCGUGAAGAUGCGGAGUCCCCGCGGUUAGACGGAAAGACCCCGUGCACCUUUACUACAGCUUUGCAGUGGUACUAGGACUUGUAUGUGUAGGAUAGGCGGGAGGCUUUGAAGCGCAGGCGCUAGCUUGUGUGGAGCCAUCCUUGAAAUACCGCCCUUGCGCGUUUUAGUGCCUAACCGCGGCCCGUGAUCCGGGUCCGGGACCCUGCAUGGCGGGUAGUUUGACUGGGGCGGUCGCCUCCCAAAGAGUAACGGAGGCGCGCGAUGGUGGGCUCAAGCUGGUCGGACAUCAGCUGUCGAGUGCAAUGGCAUAAGCCCGCCUGACUGCGAGACAGACACGUCGAGCAGAGACGAAAGUCGGUCAUAGUGAUCCGGUGGUCCCGCGUGGAAGGGCCAUCGCUCAACGGAUAAAAGGUACGCCGGGGAUAACAGGCUGAUACCCCCCAAGAGUCCACAUCGACGGGGGUGUUUGGCACCUCGAUGUCGGCUCAUCACAUCCUGGGGCUGGAGCAGGUCCCAAGGGUUCGGCUGUUCGCCGAUUAAAGUGGUACGUGAGCUGGGUUUAGAACGUCGUGAGACAGUUCGGUCCCUAUCUGCCGUGGGUGUUCGAGACUUGAGAGGCGCUGUCCCUAGUACGAGAGGACCGGGAUGGACGUACCUCUGGUGGACCGGUUGUGGCGCCAGCCGCAUCGCCGGGUAGCUAUGUACGGAAGGGAUAACCGCUGAAGGCAUCUAAGCGGGAAGCCCCCCUCAAAACCAGGUCUCGCCAUAAGAGCCGUCGUAGACCACGACGUCGAUAGGAAGCAUGUGGAAGCGCGGCAACGCGUGAAGCUGAGCUUUACUAAUCGCUCGAUUGGCUUGAUCAU